UAUUAUUUAGCAUUUAAAAAAAAGAUCUUAAAAUUUAAAAAAUAGAAUAAAAUUGAGUUUUUUUUUGUUCACAAAAAUAAACAAGAUCCUAGAUUUUGGCAACAGCAACAAAAAAAACUGGUUUUUGCUGGGUUUUAUGGAAUUUGGGAUUUGAACAAAAUAUAUCGGCGACGUGGAAGAAAAUGUUGACGGCAAUGAAGAAAUAUAGUUACUUAUAUAUAUUUUUGUGAAAUAAAAAUUAAGUAAUGUUAGUUAAAAUGUUUCUUUACUUAUUUAA